CAAUAGCGUAUAUUAAAGUUGUUGCGGUUAAAAAGCUCGUAGUUGGAGUUCUGCCAGGUGCCGCCUGUCCGCCCCAGUGGUGAGUACGUGGCGCGCAUUUGGCCCUUUCAAGGGGAGCGUAUCUGCACUUUAUUGUGUGGUGCGGGAUCCUUGACUUUUACUUUGAGGAAAUAGGAGUGUUCCAAGCAGGCUCUCGUCGUGCACAGCUCAGCAUGGAAUAAUAGCAUUGGACCUCGAUUCUAAGCUGUUGGUUGCCAGAAGCGAGGUAAUGAUGAAGAGGGAUAGUUGGGGGCAUUCGUAUUUAACUGUCGGAGGUGAAAUUCUUGGAUUUGUUAAAGACGGACUACUGCGAAAGCAUCUGCCAUGGAUGUUUUCAUUGA
rnacentral:rRNA from 1 species